UACAGAGGGGGCAAGCGUUAUUCGGAAUUAUUGGGCGUAAAGCGCGCGCAGGCGGUCCUUUAAGUCUGAUGUGAAAGCCCACGGCUCAACCGUGGAGGGUCAUUGGAAACUGGGGGACUUGAGUGCAGAAGAGGAAAGCGGAAUUCCACGUGUAGCGGUGAAAUGCGUAGAGAUGUGGAGGAACACCAGUGGCGAAGGCGGCUUUCUGGUCUGUAACUGACGCUGAGGCGCGAAAGCGUGGGGAGCAAACAGG
rnacentral:rRNA from 1 species